rnacentral:tRNA from 1 species
GCCAGCGUGGCACAAUCCGGUACUGCGUCAGUCUCGAAAACUGAUCCUUCUGGGAUUCCCGGUUCAAAUCCGGGCGCUGGCG